GGGGUUGACUGGAUUUGACAGCGGGAUGAAAUGGUAUGUAAGCACGCGGAGCAUGGUUUGUUGGCUCCUAAAUCUUAGCAGGCAACAAUUUAAUUGGCGAAAACAAUUACGCUCUCGCUGCCUAAUCGAAGUACAGUAGAUUACUGGCUUUAUCCCGUCAAUAGUUGAUGGGACGAGACAUCGCUCCAAGGAUGUGGUUCCGAAUCUGAGGGUUGAGCGGUGCAGGUAAAUCGGAAAUAGUUUGUUGAUGCCUCGCUCGGCAAAUGAAUUUUUAGAGGAUAAGGUUAUGGUUGGUGGUCUGGGUCUUGCCAUAACACGAAAACUAAAGGCCAGAAUAAGCGUGUAGAAAGCGUAUGGUUUCCCUGUUUGGACGAGGGUUCGACUCCCUCCAGCUCCACAU
rfam:Prevotella timonensis CRIS 5C-B1 contig00090, whole genome shotgun sequence.